rnacentral:rRNA from 1 species
AUUGAACGCUGGCGGCAGGCUUAACACAUGCAAGUCGAGCGGGGGAGGUUGCUUCGGUAACUGACCUAGCGGCGGACGGGUGGGUAAUGCUUAGGAAUCUGCCAUUUAGUGGGGGACAACAUUCCGAAAGGAAUGCUAAUACCGCAUACGUCCUACGGGAGAAAGCAGGGGAUCUUCGGACCUUGCGCUAAAAGAUGAGCCUAAGUCGGAUUAGCUAGUUGGUGGGGUAAAGGCCUACCAAGGCGACGAUCUGUAGCGGGUCUGAGAGGAUGAUCCGGCACACUGGGACUGAGACACGGCCCAGACUCCUACGGGAGGCAGCAGUGGGGAAUAUUGGACAAUGGGCGGAAGCCUGAUCCAGCCAUGCCGCGUGUGUGAAGAAGGCCUUAUGGUUGUAAAGCACUUUAAGCGAGGAGGAGGCUACUAGUAUUAAUGCUACUGGAUAGUGGACGUUACUCGCAGAAUAAGCACCGGCUAACUCUGUGCCAGCCGCCGCCGUAA